UACGGGUGGCGCAAGUGUUACUCUUUUUCAUUGGGCGUAAAGGGUGCGUAGGCGGUUUAAUAAGUUUAAAGUAAAAAGUCAAAAUAAACGUUUUGUUCUACUUUUUAUACUAUUAUACUAGAGUAUCGUGUAAGAUAAUGGAACUUUCAAUAAAGAAUUUAAAUGCGACGGCAUAUUGAAGGGAACACCAACGGCGAAGGCAAUUAUCUAGCCGAAUACUGACGCUGAGGCACGAAGGCACAGGUAUCAAACAGG
rnacentral:misc_RNA from 1 species